GACAGAGGCCUCAAGCGUUAGGCGGAAUCACUGGGCUUAAAGCGUGUGUAGGCGGAUCGUUAAGUGUCUUGUGAAAUCCCACGGCUCACCCGUGGAACUGCUGGGCAUACUGGCGAUCUUGGGCCAACUAGGGGCAACUGGAACAAGCGGUGGAGCGGUGAAAUGCGUAGAUAUCGAUUGGAACGCCAACGGUGAAAGCAGGUUGCUGGGGUGGUGCCGACGCUGAGACACGAAAGCCAGGGGAGCAAACGGG
rnacentral:rRNA from 1 species